AGGUGGCUGAGACCUAAGCACUAGACUUUUAAUCUAGCUACGGUAACACUUCUUACCCCU
rnacentral:tRNA from 1 species